ensembl:lncRNA
CUAAACUUCUAAUUAACCCCUGCCCUAAUGAGGGUGGGUCUGGCAGGAGAGGGAGCAAUUUUGAAACUGUCUUGUGAUCUUAGAGACAGGCUCAGAGAGGCUGGGGAAAUUGCACAAGAGUGCCCAGCUGCCAUUUCUGACUCAAAAAUCUCCACCUCGCUCGCUCAUCACUCUCUGGCACAGAGGCUAAAGCAGGACAGACAUCUGUUAUUUAGGAGUCAACAGCAGAGGCAUUUUCUUGGUGGGGAGGAACACUCAUGAUAGGUGUGGAGACAUCUGAGCUCCCCUUCCUGUCUUCUGGUCUUCCUCCAGCCUGAAGCCCAGCACAAGAGGGCUGCUCCAAGAAGCUUUUCCUGCUUCCAUCAGGCCUGCUUUAGAGACACUCAAUCCUGGAGUUGUAAAUAAUAAA